UAGAGUAAUGCGUGACCAACCUGCCCCAUGCUCCAGAAUAGCUCUUGGAAACGGGUGGUAAUGCUGGAUGCUCCAACUUGACGCAUGUCUUGUUGGGAAAGUGUUAGUGGCAUGGGAUGGGGUCGCGUCCUAUCAGCUUGUAGGCGGGGUAAUGGCCCACCUAGGCUUCGACGGGUAGCCGGCCUGAGAGGGCGACGGCCACAUUGGGACUGAGAUACGGCCCAGACUCCUACGGGAGGCAGCAGCA
rnacentral:rRNA from 1 species